rnacentral:misc_RNA from 1 species
AACCUAGCACACCUGCGGUGUGUACCUGCGGAAGGAUCAUUACUGAGUGAGGGCCUUCGGGCUCGACCUCCAACCCUUUGUGAACACAACUUGUUGCUUCGGGGGCGACCCUGCCGUUUCGACGGCGAGCGCCCCCGGAGGCCUUCAAACACUGCAUCUUUGCGUCGGAGUUUAAGUAAAUUAAACAAAACUUUCAACAAUGGAUCU